rnacentral:piRNA from 1 species
AGGAACUCACACAUUUGACUCUUCAGUGUUC